UCCAGACUCCUACGGGAGGCAGCAGUGGGGAAUAUUGCACAAUGGGGGAAACCCUGAUGCAGCGACGCCGCGUGAGUGAAGAAGUAUUUCGGUACGUAAAGCUCUGUCAGCAGGGAAGAAAAUGACGGUACCUGACCAAGAAGCCCCGGCUAACUACGUGCCAGCAGCCGCGGUAAUACGUAGGGGGCAAGCGUUAUCCGGAUUUACUGGGUGUAAAGGGAGCGUAGACGGUGCGCCAAGUCUGGAGUGAAAUGCCGGGGCUUAACCCCGGACUGCUUUGGAAACUGUUUGACUGGAGUGCAGGAGAGGUAAGUGGAAUUCCUAGUGUAGCGGUGAAAUGCGUAGAUAUUAGGAGGAACACCAGUGGCGAAGGCGGCUUACUGGACUGUAACUGACGUUGAGGCUCGAAAGCGUGGGGAGCAAACAGGAUUAGAUACCCUGGUAAG
rnacentral:rRNA from 1 species